ensembl:snRNA U6 U6 spliceosomal RNA
GUGCUCACUUUGGCAGCAUAUAUAUUCAAAUUGGAAUGAUACAGAGAAGAUUAGCCUGGCCCCUGCUCAAGGAUGACAUGCAAAUUCAAGAAGUAGUCUAUAUAUAU